AUUGAACGCUGGCGGCAGGCCUAACACCUGCAAGUCGAGCGGAGCGGCGGACGGGUGAGUAAUGUAUGGGGAUCUGCCCGAUAGAGGGGGAUAACUAUUGGAAACGAUAGCUAAUACCGCAUACUAGUAGAUGGACCUGCGUUGUAUUAGCUAGUAGGUAGGGUAAUGGCCUACCUAGGCAACGAUACAUAGCCGACCUGAGAGGGUGAUCAGUCACACUGGAACUGAGACACGGUCCAGACUCCUACGGGAGGCAGCAGUGGGGAAUAUUGGACAAUGGGCGAAAGCCUGAUCCAGCCAUGCCGCGUGUGUGAAGAAGGUCUUCGGAUUGUAAAGCACUUUAAGUUGGGAGGCGUUACCAACAGAAUAAGCACCGGCUAACUUCGUGCCAGCAGCCGCGGUAAUAC
rnacentral:rRNA from 1 species